ensembl:piRNA 21ur-2094 ncRNA
AUUUCAAUAUCAUUUUUGAGU